UACGUAGGGGGCAAGCGUUGUCCGGAAUCAUUGGGCGUAAAGCGCGCGUAGGCGGCCCGAUCAGUCCGCUGUAAAAGUCCAGGGCUUAACCCUGGAAAGCCGGUGGAUACUGUCGGGCUAGAGUCCGGAAGAGGCGAGUGGAAUUCCUGGUGUAGCGGUGAAAUGCGCAGAUAUCGGGAAGAACACCCGUGGCGAAGGCGGUUCUCUGGGACGGUACUGACGCUGAGACGCGAAAGCGUGGGGAGCGAACAGG
rnacentral:rRNA from 1 species